UACGUAGGUGGCGAGCGUUGUCCGGAAUUACUGGGUGUAAAGGGCGUGUAGGCGGGAAUGCAAGUCAGAUGUGAAAUACCGAGGCUUAACUUCGGGGCUGCAUCUGAAACUGUGUUUCUUGAGUGUCGGAGAGGAAAGUGGAAUUCCCAGUGUAGCGGUGAAAUGCGUAGAUAUUGGGAGGAACACCAGUGGCGAAGGCGACUUUCUGGACGAUAACUGACGCUGAGGCGCGAAAGCGUGGGGAGCAAAC
rnacentral:rRNA from 1 species